GAGCAACACACACACAGUGCCGCAGUCUUUGUCUGACUGCUGUGAAAGUCCGAUGGCUCAGGAAUACUAAUCCCACUCGCAUGUCAUUUGGACGGACCAGAGGAGCAGCUAAUGGGGCAGGCGAGAUGAGGAGGAGACACUGUCGAUGGCUGUGUGGCAGUGUGUGUGAGUGGCAGAGUCCUCCCAGCCACAGAGAUAAAGAUUAGCAAAGGCCGAGCUGAACACAGAGGUCCAUUUACUGCACAUGGCACUGCACAUCAUCCCGCUACUGCUGCCAGUGAAAAACAGGCCUUCCACUUUGGGCAGAGUGAGAUCUCAAUGGCACGAUCAGGGGAUGGAGAGUGGAAGUGUGAUGAGAGAGGAGGAGUAAGAGAGAAAGAUAAAUGGGCUUAAUGGACUAUCAUGAAUGCAGUGGGCGGAGUCAUGCCAGUGUCACUCAUUCCACCCCCUCUGAAUGAUCUCUGACAUGUCCUUGACUGGAAUUGAAUCCCUGCUCUG
ensembl:lncRNA